UACGGGGGGGGUAAGCGUUGUUCGGAAUUACUGGGCGUAAAGGGCGCGUAGGCGGCCCGCUAAGUCGAACGUGAAAUCCCCGAGCUCAACUCGGGAACUGCGUCCGAUACUGGCGGGCUUGAAUCCGGGAGAGGGAUGCGGAAUUCCAGGUGUAGCGGUGAAAUGCGUAGAUAUCUGGAGGAACACCGGUGGCGAAGGCGGCAUCCUGGACCAACACUGACGCUGAGGAGCGAAAGCCAGGGGAGCAAACGGG
rnacentral:rRNA from 1 species